GACCUGAGAGGGUGAUCGGCCACACUGGAACUGAGACACGGUCCAGACUCCUACGGGAGGCAUCAGUAGGGAAUCUUCCGCAAUGGGCGAAAGCCUGACGGAGCAACACCGCGUGAGUGAUGAAGGUCUUCGGAUCGUAAAACUCUGUUAUUAGGGAAGAACAAACGUGUAAGUAACUGUGCACGUCUUGACGGUACCUAAUCAGAAAGCCACGGCUAACUACGUGCCAGCAGCCGCGGUAAUACGUAGGUGGCAAGCGUUAUCCGGAAUUAUUGGGCGUAAAGCGCGCGUAGGCGGUUUUUUAAGUCUGAUGUGAAAGCCCACGGCUCAACCGUGGAGGGUCAUUGGAAACUG
rnacentral:rRNA from 1 species